rnacentral:sRNA from 1 species
GCCGGGCAUGGUGGCACAUGCCCGUAAUCCCAGCAACUUGGGAGGCUGAGGCAGGAGAAUCACAAGUUUGAGGGCAGCCUCAGUAACUUAGCAAGACUAUAAGCAACUUAGUCAGACCCUGUCUCAA